rnacentral:rRNA from 1 species
GAUGAACGCUGGCGGCGUGCCUAAUACAUGCAAGUCGAGCGAACGGACGAGAAGCUUGCUUCUCUGAUGUUAGCGGCGGACGGGUGAGUAACACGUGGAUAACCUACCUAUAAGACUGGGAUAACUUCGGGAAACCGGAGCUAAUACCGGAUAAUAUUUUGAACCGCAUGGUUCAAAAGUGAAGGACGGUCUUGCUGUCACUUAUAGAUGGAUCCGCGCUGCAUUAGCUAGUUGGUAAGGUAACGGCUUACCAAGGCAACGAUGCAUAGCCGACCUGAGAGGGUGAUCGGCCACACUGGAACUGAGACACGGUCCAGACUCCUACGGGAGGCAGCAGUAGGGAAUCUUCCGCAAUGGGCGAAAGCCUGACGGAGCAACGCCGCGUGAGUGAUGAAGGUCUUCGGAUCGUAAAACUCUGUUAUUAGGGAAGAACAUAUGUGUAAGUAACUGUGCACAUCUUGACGGCACCUAAUCAGAAAGCCACGGCUAACUACGUG